rnacentral:rRNA from 1 species
GACGAACGCUGGCGGCGUGCCUAAUACAUGCAAGUCGAGCGCACAGGGGAGGUGCUUGUACCAACGGGGUGAGCAGCGAACGGGUGAGUAACGCGUGGGUAACCUGCCUAUGAGAGGGGGACAACAUCGGGAAACGAAUGCUAAUACCGCAUAAAAUCUUGAAACACAAGGUUUAAGAGUGAAAGAUGCAAUUGCAUCACCCAAAGGUGAGCCCGCGGUGUAUUAGCUAGGUGGUGAAGUAAAGGCCCUCCAAGGGGAUGGUACCUAGCCCGCCUGAGAGGGUGGUCCGCCCCCUUUGGACUGGGACCCGGCCCCAACUCCUUCCGGAGGCAGCCGUAGGGGAUCUUCGGCCAUUGACGAAAGUCUGAACGAGCAACGCCGGGUGAGGGAAGAAGGUUUUCGGAUCCUAAAACCCCGUUGGUAGGGAAGAAAGUUGGUUAGAGUGGACAGCGCAUCUAGUGACGGUAACUACUCAGAAAGAGACGGCUAACUACGUG